UUUUUUUCCCAGAAAAUCGUGAUUAACGGCAGGGGAUGGGGAGGGGCAGAGGGGGGAAUCCCACCGGGUGCUGGAAAGACACGGGUCUCUGCAGAGGCUUUCCCGCGGGAAGGCUCCGCAGGGGUGUCUUGGCACACCAGCUCACACUCACUCACGCACACUCACAACUCACACGCGUUCCAGGCUGAGAGCUGGAUCCUGCAAACCCGCCUCCCAUCCUGCGGGAAGCUCCCAGCGCUGGGGCGGCCGGUCCAGGCGAGCCGACCUUACUCGGGCAAGUAGGGACGGCCAGGGCCGGAGGCGGCUCAGCCAGAACCGAGGCUCGCAGCGCUCUGCAGGGCGGCCGGGCCGGGCUCCGGGAGCGGGGCUGGGGCUCAUCCCCAGCUGCCCCCGCCUGCCGGGCUCCGCUGCCGCGGGAGAAGCUCUCCAACGUGUCCUCCUGGCAUCGCUGGGAAUGAUGGUUCCUUUAAGCUCUUACAAAUUGCAGAAGUUGAGGAAGACAGAGAAAUAAUUAAUGUAUUAAAACAAGCAGCGAAUUCCUCAGGAGGCACCUUAUCAACUCCAGCCACACUGGCUUCAUCCCUCCUCGUAUGCUAAUACCCCGUGACGUCAUUGGCGCCAGAUUGAAUGUGAAUCAGUUAUGAAAUUAUUAGUUUUAGCUUAAAAAGCAAUCUGGCUCUCCCGUGAGUGGGCUUUGCGUUGCUGCGGGUUCUCGCUCCGUGUCCUCCCCAUGUUAUGCACACACAGUAGCUGCGACUUUCCUGUCGCAAUGAAUCAAUAUUUCCAAAGCACACAUCCUAACAGGGGGUGAUGUAAAGAAACCCAUAGAUUAAUUGGGUCCCGUUUCUGAGUCGGCUGUGUCUUCCUUUAUCGAUACACACUUUACACCCGAAACCAGACAGUCGGAUUUCCUCCUACUUUUCAGGGUCUGUGUGAUCUCCUCCCACGAGAGGCGACUCAGCAGCUCGGUCCCCUCUGCCAUCCCAGCACUGCCAGGGGAGAAGCCCAGGAGGAGCAGAGCAGUGGCUGAGCAGCAGCUUGAAUAUCCAUAUUUAACUCUUCAAACAACAGAAGAUACUUCAGAACCAUGUUAAGAAGGAUAAGCUUGGAGUGCCCAGUCACCGUGGUAACUGCCAGAAAAAUUCUCCUGAAGUUUGAAGAGGUCAGCUAACGGGGUCAACAACUCUGGCCUCUCUCUGAGCUGGGCCUGGCAGGCUCCAUCCUGCGGUUGGGGUGUUAACGCAGGCUGAGCCCUGGGAGGUGGACCAUUCCAGCUCUGAUAUAAAUUUUUUGAGUCAGUUCACGGCCUGGACUCUCCAGGUGGCCUCCAAAAUCGAUUGUGACCUUGUGACCCUGUCUAACGGAGGCAUAGCAUCCAACCUAAGUAAGGAUUUAGCCAGGAACGACAGCUUUCCACUGAGUGUUAUUGGGGACAGUACAAACAGUUUGGGAAGCAAGGAGGUAGGUAUGAGGAGUAGAGGUCAUUAAAAGCAUAUUAAAAAACAAUUUUAAAAAUCCUUUUCAGUUGAAAGUUUUUAUUUGCAGUAACCAUUCCUUAAAUAAACCCUUCUGGCAACUAUUUUUUCCUUUUAUAAUAACAUUUCGUCAAGUGCUUCAGUGCAUUAAUAUACGAAAAAUUGGCACUUUGCGUAUUCCAAACCAAAUUAAUAUUUUAUCUACCUCUGGAUUUUGAACUUGUAAACGAAGCUGGCUGACAUGUGUUAAGCUAGAUGUCUGUGAAGUGUUUUUCUCCUUAAUAUCAUAAAGCUAGGAAACUGGUUAUUAAAGUAGGCUAUUUAUUUUAGGUAGUAAUUUCCCUAAUAUGUGCAUUCUUUUUAGGUUCAAAAGUCUCUUAAUCCUUGUAAUCUUAUUUUUAAACUGGGAAAUUAGGCAACAUUAAGAAUAGUGUGAAAUUAAAGUGUGAGAGUUUCACAGAGUUUUCAUUUACUGGUUUGCAGUACAGAUAGAAAAGCUACAAAACUUAUUACACAUUUUUAUAGAAAACAAAUUGAUCUUGCUAAGAUCAUAUUCAUAGAGAACAUGAUAUUUUUUCCCUUAAGAUUUUAGGCAACAAAUCAUAUAGGGGAGGGAGGGGCUGUUGCAGAGUUCUGAUUUUGUUAUUGAAUCUAGAAACUUGCCCUUCUGAACAAGUGGAUUUGCUCUUGUGUUUUAUUCCCACAGCUACAAAACCUCGUGCAUUGCUCACAUGAGUAAUUGGUAGUUGUUGGAUGAGUAAGUGGAACUACACUGAGGAGCAAAGUCCAGUUCCUGAGGUGGAAAGUACUAUCAGACUUUAAGUGACUUUAAAACUGCUCAGAAGGAAGAAAAUAGCUUUAAUAUUUGUUCCCAGUCUUAGAAAACUUGUACAGUGAGAACCUUGCCCAGACACUUCUCGUGCUUGGCAGGGCAUGUCUCUGACAUUUUUCUUCCCAGCCCCUUCCCAGUUGAGCAGUUCCCCCAAGGCUGGAGGAGCUGCACAGAGAUGGGGCCAUAAAAUACAGUUCAGGAAGAGCAUCUGAGCUCUGCUGAACAUCAUUGUACUGCUGAGAGGUCCCACAGGUUGCAACAGCAAGAAUGUCUAACUUUUACUUGCAGUAGCACCUUACUCUGCAGAAAGCACCCAAAAACCCAUGGUCUUUUGGCCAAGGUCCUGCCUCUUAUAGGAUCAUCAUAAUCUGUUCUGGUGAGAGCAGGUUUGAAGACCAGGACUAAGAAAUGUGGCUGAAUUUUGCCAUGAAAUUAUUUAAGGCCUGCACCUGGACAUUCAGGUAUCCAUGGUGACACUAUUUAACUCUACCCUGAAUACUAAUAAUAGUUGGGUUUUGGUGGUCAUUUUUAACAGACCUCUGCUGAAAAGAAUUUAUUCUCGUUAGGAAGCAUGUUGAUUCAGGACUUCUGUGAUUGAGUUUGGUAAGAUGAAACUUACAGCCCUUGGUGAGAAUCAGAAUAUUUCCUUGUUUUUCAGAAAACAAAAAUUAAAAAUAGGACUGUAAAUAGUUGGAUGGUGAAUCUUUAAUAUUUUCAAAAGCAUCUGUGUCAUUUUUAGCAUUUAAAAAAAUAUAUACUUACGUCUGCUUUGUAUUGCCAUCACUCAAGGACCAAGUUCUACUGAUAAACAGGGGAUCAUUUCAGAAAACAGAUAGAACUAUUCCACUGGAGCUUUUGGACCAGAAUUGCCCCAAAUUUUCCCUAAAGCCUCCAGCUUGGAAUGAGGAAUAGGUGGCAGAGGCAACCAGAAGGAGAUCUCAAGAACUUUAACUUGCUGAAAAUUCUUUAGCAUUGACUUCUAUAGAUCCUAUUGAAUUUAUAAUCAACUGCAAAUCUACAAAUGUCACUCGGAACAGGUCCUGGUCUUGCAUGUUUUGUACCUCUUCACAUUGUUCAGUUCAUCCACACCCAAGCAUUUGGAGGUGCUAUGUUAGCAGCAGCUGCAGUGGACAAUUCUUCUUCCCCAUCAUGCUUACACAGCUUCAUUUGACUUUUUGGAAAACUCCCUGGAGUGCAGUGUCUUUGAGUUUCACCAAAGUGAAUGGGCUUUGUGCUGCCUUAGAGACAAACCAGCAGAAUCACCAAAGCCUCUUGUGGUUCCCAGCCCCUGUCCUAUGGACCACUGAUAACCCCUGUGGCCUUUGAAAGUUCACUGUGGCUGAUCUGUGGAAUUGUAUUAAAUAAUAAUGCCCAUAGUCUUCAAUUUAAAUUUUUAUUAGUAGAGUAUGUGGCAGUUUUCAAGAAAAUCUGAGGUCUGAGGGUAAUCUGCUACCUGAAAGCUCAGGGAAUUCUUGCUGUACAGGAAUAUGUCCUAGGUCAUGGGCCAUAAGGUGUUGGGAGGUAUUUUGUUAAUGUUUUCAAAUUAAACAUAUGCUCAGUUAAAUAAAUGGUUUUUAUUACUCAUGCAAACAAACAAAACAACAAAAAAACCCACUUCAAUAUAAAACAAAGAAAAUAAAAAUGACAAAUGGGCA